CAAAACGUGAUUGGAACAAGAGUUUUCAUAUGAUGCUGACACUGUGAGAAGAAUUGUUAUUACUAUUAUCGUUUAAAUGCUAUGAUGAAUAGAUUUAGAGUGUUUAAGGAAUGCUGUUAAGAAAAGGAAUGUGUGUCACGGACCGGUUGAUUAGGACCCGAAUGCAGGCCAGGACACAUUGGUAAAAUGGUCAAACAGCUUUAUUUACAGGGGUAGGGGGCACACAAAGAACAUGAGCAACACGGAGCACACAAGGAACACGAGGGCAGCCUUCCAGGGCUGCGGAGCACACGAGGGCAACCCUCCAGGGCUGCGGAGGGCGCAGGGAACAGGGGCGGCCCUCCAGGAGACACCAAGCUGGAGUGACCGUCCAGGGCGAAGAGUAGAGGGGCAGCCCUCCAGGGCGCAGGGAACAGGGGCGGCCCUCCAGGAGACACCAAGCUGGAGUGACCCUCCAGGAGACACGAAGCUGGAGCGGCCCUCCAGGGCGCAGAGAACAGGGCCCUCCAGGAGACAUGAAGGUGAAGGUGAAGCUGGGGCGGCCCUCCAGGAGACACAGAACACCAGCACACGACGAGGAAGACGAACAGACAUGCUUACAAGACAAACAGAACAACCUCACAAGACAAACAGACACUCUGGCACUGAGAGGCAGGCGCAACCUGCUUAAAUAGGCAGCCCAAUAUAAAUUGCUUACAGGUGCGCCUGCCAGCAGUGCCAGCUGCCACCAAUUGUGCCCCACACCACCCCCUGCAGGACAACAACCGACACAACCCAGAAACCCUGACAGUGUGAAUGUUAAAACUAGAGUUAGUUAGAGUUAAAGUGCUAGAGCUGUUUAUAUAACCAGCACUUAGAGGUAUCCUGUUUGAUAAGACAAGGAGGUCGUAAAGAUGGGAAAAGUAGAUAGGAGACAAGGAAUCGUGAGGUCCUGUUUGACAUAAAUCUUGUGUGCACCAAUCAAAGAGGCGAGCGAGUAGCAGACGAGCAGAGUUGACAGAGGAAGCUUGAACUGCUGCCCUUGCAAGGACUCUAGUUGUUUGUCUGAGUCUUAACAUAAGAGUAAAGAACAGCGCGGGUGACAAACUUCACCCUCAUUUGGUCCUUUGAGCUGAAUCCCAAGACCUGGAGAGGAGUCUGCGCGCAGCCGGAGUCAAAAAGACGUCCGAAGUGAAAGACCUUUCAUCACGAGUUGACGGAAGGCCGGUCUUCGUCCCUCCCAGGGCGACCAUCUCCAGUGACGGGAAGAAGGCACUAAAACAACUCAGAGAAAAACCAUAGAAACAACGGAGUGAGUAUAAAACACAAAAAGCACUACACUGAAAUACUGCAGAGGUUAUCCUGCCUGGUCAUUGGGAGAGAAGCAGAGGCAAGAUACACCCGCCUCUUCAAAGGUAGAAGCUUGGUGUAUACUCUCCUGAUUGGGAACGGGGGACUAUAAGGCCACGGCAGAGAGACUCAACUAGAUAUCCAGUAGGGAUUGAGGGUUGUUCAGUCGGAGACCAGAAAUCUCAAAAUCUCCCAAAUACACAAAAACUGAUCAAAUAAAGUGCACACAUGGGCAACCAACAUUCAACAAAAGGUGCUGAAUUCGAAAUCCCAGCAUCAUGUAAACACAUGGAAGACAAAUAUCCAGGUUCAUGCUCAUAUGUUCAGCUGUGGAUGACCAAGUUCGAUUGGGAUGGUAACUUAGACGGGCCAGGCAAUAUUAUAAUAUUAAAAGAUUUAAUAGAAUGUGGAAAGAAACAUCCAAAAGUAAAUGUGGGGUUGACACAAUGUCACCUCUGGCUCACUGAAUUAAAAUAUAGAAGAGAAAAACAAAAUCAAGAAAAGGAGAAACGAAAAAGAGAAAAAUAAGAGAAUAAGAACCCCUUUUACCCAUCACUGAGUGCGUACGUGAGAGAGGAGGACAACGAAACAGGAG
ensembl:lncRNA